AAAUAUACCGGGGCUAAGCAUAAUACCGAAACUGUGGGUGCACCCGUCAGGGUGCGCGGUAGGAGAGCGUUCUAAGGGCGUUGAAGGUCGAUCGUGAGGACGGCUGGAGCGCUUAGAAGUGAGAAUGCCGGCAUGAGUAGCGAAAGAUCAGUGAGAAUCUGAUCCACCGUAUGACUAAGGUUUCCUGGGGAAGGCUCGUCCUCCCAGGGUUAGUCGGGAUCUAAGGCGAGGCCGCAAGGCGUAGUCGAUGACAAGCAGGUUGAGAUUCCUGCACUAGUUUAUUUUGUUUAAGCGAUGGAGGGACGCAGGAGGCUAAGGAAAGCGCACGGCUGGAAAAGUGCGUCCAAGCAGUAAGUCCGGUAGCGAGUGAAAUGCUUGCCGCCUUAAGGACAAGCUGUGAUGGGGAGCGAAAUUAAAGUAGCGAAGUUCCUGAUGUCACACUGCCAAGAAAAGCUUCUAGUGAGAAAUAAACUACCCGUACCGCAAACCGACACAGGUAGUCGAGGAGAGUAUCCUCAGGUGAGCGAGCGAACUCUCGUUAAGGAACUCGGCAAAAUGACCCCGUAACUUCGGAAGAAGGGGUGCUGACCGCAAGGUCAGCCGCAGUGAAUAGGCCCAAACAACUGUUUAUCAAAAACACAGGUCUCUGCUAAAUCGUAAGAUGAUGUAUAGGGGCUGACGCCUGCCCGGUGCUGGAAGGUUAAGAGGAUGAGUUAGCGCAAGCGAAGCCCAGAAUUGAAGCCCCAGUAAACGGCGGCCGUAACUAUAACGGUCCUAAGGUAGCGAAAUUCCUUGUCGGGUAAGUUCCGACCCGCACGAAAGGCGUAAUGAUUUGGGCACUGUCUCAACGAGAGACUCGGUGAAAUUAUAGUACCCGUGAAGAUGCGGGUUACCCGCGACAGGACGGGAAGACCCCAUGGAGCUUUACUGUAGCUUGAUAUUGAGUGUUGGUACCGCUUGUACAGGAUAGGUAGGAGCCGUAGAGAUCGGAACGCUAGUUUCGAUGGAGGCAUUGGUGGGAUACUACCCUAGCUGUAUGAACACUCUAACCCGCGCCACUAAUC
rnacentral:rRNA from 2 species